rnacentral:rRNA from 1 species
GACGAACCGUGCGAACGUUGUUCGGAAUCACUGGGCUUAAAGGGUGCGUAGGCGGGUUUGCAAGUCUGCGGUGAAAGCCUCCAGCUUAACUGGAGAAGUGCCGUGGGUACUGCGGAUCUCGAGGAGGGUAGGGGCAUCUGGAACGGUCGGUGGAGCGGUGAAAUGCGUUGAUAUCGACCGGAACUCCGGUGGCGAAGGCGAGGUGCUGGACCCUUUCUGACGCUGAGGCGCGAAAGCCAGGGGAGCAAACGGG